UAUAUGCUGCUGAGCUACUCUCGUUUGGUCCUUUAUUUCAUUUUUUAAUGUCUGAAUAUUUAUGGGUUUUGAAUCCUCAAGGUAAUACUGGUAUGCUGCCAAAGCUGUCACCUGAUCAAUUCCUCAAGCUCAAACAACUCACUGUGCGUACUCUUUCUGCGACCAAUAAGAUUCUCUCUUACAAUGAACUGCUAGAGGAAGUUGAGGUUUGUAACGUGCAUGAACUUAAGACUUCCUCAUCAAUGAGUGCGCGUAUGCAGCAGGGCAUAGUCAAAGGGAAGUUGAAUCAGCUGGGAAGAUGUUAUGAGGUUUAAUCAAUCACCUUGGGAAGUCAUCUGUUUGGUUUCUUUAUGUCUUUAAUAAAUGUUUUGAAUUUAAUGCUUGGUGGGUUAUUUCAUUUUCAGUUGCAAUUUGCAGCAGGGAGGGAUCUCAUGCAUGGCCAGCUUGGGAGUAUGAUAGAUACAUUGGGAAUUUGGUUCUUACAAAAUCAAUUGAGAUGUACUGUGGACUGACAUGAAAGGGGACUCCACUUACCAUUGAAGGUUUUUUCCAAUCAUUCAUUCAGUUUUCAUUCAAUAUUUCACAAGAUCUUGAGACAAGGUUAGCCACUUCAGACAGUGUAUUUCCCUUGAUUGAAGAAAAGAUUGACUGGGCUAGUAAAAUGUGCCAGUUGGACAUGGAUCACCAGCAGGAACUUCAAGUCCAAGCAGGGCCUUUGUUUCUGGGAAAAUGUUGAUGGUUUUGGCUAUCUUGGUGGACUAAUGGAACAGGAAGAGGAUCUCAUCCGAUCCAAGAGGAGACGGUCCCAGCACAACUACAGUCGAGGAAGGCCAGUAUACCCUUAAUGUGUCUCCCAGUGGUAAACCAAUUUUUGCUCAUGGCAUACUAGAAUUAGGAAUUACCAACCUAGAAUCGGGAAUUUGUCGCCAUUUUCUCCCUAAAUGAUGAAGUCUAACGCCAGUUGUGGGGAAGAAUUAUUCAAAUUUAGUGCAUAUUGGCAUGUUUAUCUCAAUUCAAGGAUGCUAGUUUUCAUGAUCAUUCUGCAUGCAUGUUAAAUAUACUUUUUGAAGCAAGCCAAGAGCGUUUUAUUAUGUGUUAGAAGCGUAGAAUGGGCAUGAGCGCUUGCACAGGCUCAUGCUAGGAUAUGCGAUGAGUGCCAACAAGUUAUGGAAUUCCCGGGGCCAUGAAUGGAAAUAUUAGAGAUUUGCACGAUGAUUUUUCUCGUAUCUCCAUGAUACCUCUAGCUGGUGAGGCAUUGGGAUUUUGCGAGUACAAUGUACAACAGCAUAGUCUCCUCUCCGUGGUAAGUAAUUUUUGUUUAUUUUUACUUUGGUAAUCUUCCAGCAAGUAUUGUGGAUAGGAUGAGAAGCCAGGCGUGUCUGCUUUUAAAAUUUGUUUUUGGUAAUUUGACUGACUUUGCUGCAAUCAACAAUGACAGAAUUAUUAUUAAUAUUUAUUGUACGAA